AUCCUGGCUCAGGAUGAACGCUAGCUACAGGCUUAACACAUGCAAGUCGAGGGGAAACGAUAUUGGAAGCUUGCUUCCGAUAGGCGUCGACCGGCGCACGGGUGAGUAACGCGUAUCCAACCUGCCAUCACUUGGGGAUAACCUUGCGAAAGUAAGACUAAUACCCAAUGACGUCUCUAGAAGACAUCUGAAGGAGAUUAAAGAUUUAUCGGUGAUGGAUGGGGAUGCGUCUGAUUAGCUUGUUGGCGGGGUAACGGCCCACCAAGGCGACGAUCAGUAGGGGUUCUGAGAGGAAGGUCCCCCACAUUGGAACUGAGACACGGUCCAAACUCCUACGGGAGGCAGCAGUGAGGAAUAUUGGUCAAUGGACGAGAGUCUGAACCAGCCAAGUAGCGUGCGGGAUGACGGCCCUAUGGGUUGUAAACUGCUUUUAUAAGGGAAUAAAGUGAGUCUCGUGAGACUUUUUGCAUGUACCUUAUGAAUAAGGACCGGCUAAUUCCGUG
rnacentral:rRNA from 1 species